rnacentral:rRNA from 1 species
CGCGUAAUCAACCUGCCUUCAGGAUGGGGACAACAGACGGAAACGACUGCUAAUACCGAAUAAGUUCCAAGAGCCGCAUGGCCCAUGGAAGAAAAGGUGGCCUCUACUUGUAAGCUAUCGCCUGAAGAGGGGUUUGCGUCUGAUUAGCUGGUUGGAGGGGUAACGGCCCACCAAGGCGACGAUCAGUAGCCGGUCUGAGAGGAUGAACGGCCACACUGGAACUGAGACACGGUCCAGACUCCUACGGGAGGCAGCAUG